rnacentral:rRNA from 1 species
UUAUAAAUAAAAAUUGUUAAUAAGAAAUUAAAUGGAAUCAUUAAAUUUAAAUAAUUUGGCGGUAUUUUAAAUAAUUAGAGGAAUUUGUUAAUUAAAUGAUAAUCCACGAGUGGAGGGUCCUAAUAGAGUUUUAUAUAUUGUUGUAUAAAAAUUAUUUUAUAAGAAAAAUAAUUAAAAAAUUUAAUUUAAUUUGAAUUCAAAUCAAAAUGUAGAGUUAUUAGGGUUGGAUGAAUUACAAUUUAAUUUAGUAACGGAAUUAUUUUUUUAAAAGAAUAAUGAAGUAGGAUUUAAUAGUAAAUUUGAAAAAAUUUUUAGAUUGAAAAAUAAAUUAAAAUAUG